rnacentral:rRNA from 1 species
CAGCCCUAAACGAUGCGCGUUAGGUGUAUCGGUGACCACGAGUCACCGAGGUGCCGAAGGGAAACCGUGAAACGUGCCGCCUGGGAAGUACGGUCGCAAGGCUGAAACUUAAAGGAAUUGGCGGGGGAGCACCACAACGGGUGGAGCUUGCGGUUUAAUUGGACUCAACGCCGGGAAGCUCACCGGAUAAGACAGCGGAAUGAUUGCCGGGCUGAAGACCCUGCAUGACCAGCUGAGAGGAGGUGCAUGGCGUAGUCGUGU